rnacentral:rRNA from 1 species
CACGUAGGGCGCAAGCGUUGUCCGGAAUUAUUGGGCGUAAAGAGCUCGUAGGCGGUCUGUUGCGUCCGCUGUGAAAACCCGGGGCUUAACCCCUGGCUUGCAGUGGAUACGGACAGACUAGAGGUAGGUAGGGGAGAAUGGAAUUCCCGGUGUAGCGGUGAAAUGCGCAGAUAUCGGGAGGAACACCGGUGGCGAAGGCGGUUCUCUGGGCCUUACCUGACGCUGAGGAGCGAAAGCGUGGGGAGCGA